rnacentral:rRNA from 1 species
AGCUAAUAGAUACCCCGGUAGUCCAUGUCGUAAACGAUGAAUACUAGGUGUGGGGGUUGUCAUGACCUCCGUGCCGCCGCUAAACGCAUUAAGUAUUCCGCCUGGGGAGUACGGUCGCAAGAUUAAAACUCAAAGGAAUUGACGGGGGCCCGCACAAGCAGCGGAGCAUGUGGUUUAAUUCGAAGCAACGCGAAGAGCCUUACCUAGACUUGACAUCUCCUGAAUUACUCUGUAAUGGAGGAAGCCCUUCGGGGCAGGAAGACAGGUGGUGCAUGGUUGUCGUCAGCUCGUGUCGUGAGAUGUUGGGUUAAGUCCCGCAACGAGCGCAACCCUUAUUGUUAGUUGCUACCAUUUAGUUGAGCACUCUAGCGAGACUGCCCGGGUUAACCGGGAGGAAGGUGGGGAUGACGUCAAAUCAUCAUGCCCCUUAUGUCUAGGGCUACACACGUGCUACAAUGGCUGGUACAGAGAGAUGCAAUACCGCGAGGUGGAGCCAAACUUCAAAACCAGUCUCAGUUCGGAUUGUAGGCUG